AGCGGGACCUUGACCUAGAACUCAUGGAGCGGGUGUCGGCUACAUAUUUACACGAAUCCCCGCUCUCAGUAUGGUUGUCCCGGCCGUUCGGGAAACGAACGGAGACCGUCCGGAAGGGGGUACUUAACCUGCGGUUAACCGCAAGAUCAACAUUCUAAUUGAGGCCACACACCAGAAUGUAGGUGCUCCUCGUUCGUGAGUCUUUUGGUAGUUUUCCCUUCGGUGAAAUGUAUCCGAAUGUGGAUACUCUGCGACCGUCAAUUAGUUUGAUUGUAGGGUAGUUGGUUAUUCGGUACUUUCAGAGGUGACCAGGGUUAAGUGGCGGCACACGCCAAGGGCUGGGUGGUCCGUCGUU